rnacentral:rRNA from 1 species
AGAUUGAACGCUGGCGGCAUGCUUUACACAUGCAAGUCGAACGGUAACAGGCCGCAAGGUGCUGACGAGUGGCGAACGGGUGAGUAAUGUAUCGGAACGUGCCCAGUCGUGGGGGAUAACGCAGCGAAAGCUGCGCUAAUACCGCAUACGAUCUAUGGAUGAAAGCGGGGGACCGUAAGGCCUCGCGCGAUUGGAGCGGCCGAUAUCAGAUUAGGUAGUUGGUGGGGUAAAGGCUCACCAAGCCAACGAUCUGUAGCUGGUCUGAGAGGACGACCAGCCACACUGGGACUGAGACACGGCCCAGACUCCUACGGGAGCAGCAGUGGGGAAUUUGGACAAUGGG